CAGUUCGGAUUGUAGUCUGNAACCCGACUACAUGAAGCUGGAAUCGCUAGUAAUCGCAGGUCAGCAUACUGCGGUGAAUACGUUCCCGGGUCUUGUACACACCGCCCGUCACACCAUGGGAGCCGGAAAUGCCCGAAGCCAGUGACCCAACCUUAGGGAGGGAGCUGUCGAAGGUGGAGCCGGUAACUGGGGUGAAGUCGUAACAAGGUAGC
rnacentral:rRNA from 1 species